rnacentral:rRNA from 1 species
UUGAAAGGGAAACGAUUGAAGUCAGUCGUACCGACGAGAAAUCAGCUUAUCGUGUGUUAACUUGUGGGCGUGCGUGAGUUUCGGCCUCGCUGUUUGCAAGUUUGUGCGCUUUGGGUGUACUUUUUCGUAUGGUUGGCCAACAUCAGUUUCGAUUACUAUAAAAUGACUGGCGGAAUGUAGCUUCGAUUUCGGUUGAAGUGUUAUAGCCUCUGGUAGAUGUGGUGAUUGAGACUGAGGAUUGCAACGAAUAUCCUUUGGGCUAUCCGUCUGGCCUCUGAAAGUUGCUUGGGUGCUGAAAGCUUGCUUAUGGUUAUCUAAGUUAACGGUCAAUAGGUUAGAACGUGAUUACAUUCGUUAAGGAUGUUGACGUA